UAAAAUAAAAAAAAUAUUUUCGAUUAAGAUAAAAAGAAUAUAGUAUACCACUCAUUCAGAAAAAUAAAAACACUCAAUCCAACCCAAAACCCUUCAUCUUAGUCGAACCCAUAAUCCAUCUCUCACCAAACUUCAUCCAACCCAGAACUCGCCCAACGCCCUCGUAUCUCUCGACGGCAACCCAUAACUCCUUAUCCCCACCACUAUGUGUAUAAGUUUAGUCUCAGUGCAAACUCCUUAUCCUCUCUCUCUAAAACUCGUCAAUGGCGUCUCAGAUCUAAACUCUUGAAAGUAGAAGGUACGAGAUCAAGCGGUGGUGUCGUCGGAAGCGGGAUCUAUCACGUUGAAGGUGAAACUGCACUUUGCGGAUUUUAAUUUGGAGCCAGAAGGUUGGAGUGGUUAUGUGUGUCCGUGGAUCAAGGAUAUGGUUGUUGCGUUUUAGUGUUUGGAAGAGAUCCAAUCAUCUAAGUUGUGGCUUUUGUGACAAAUUUACAUGAGCAUGGUAUAUGGGCCUCGAAUGGGGAUGAUGAGAAUGGAACAUUGGGAGUGUGCAAGGAAGCUUGGUUCAAAACCCCAGCUGGAAAUCGAUAGCUGGUUGUUGUGAUGCGCUUGUUUCUGCCCAUAAUCAGAUUAGAUCAUAUCUGCUUCAUUAUCAAUUAGAAGGUUUUUGAAUGUAAUCUAGCCCCUGUUUCAAUUUUUGUUCUAUUAGUUUUGUUGUUCUACAAAAAUCUGAAUCAUUUUGCAUUUGUUGGUGUGCCCUUUGUUUCUUGUCUAUAGAUGGUUUGGUGUUGUAAGGUUUCCAUUCAUCAUUCUAACUUUGUGAAUUUUUUAGUGGGUAAUUUUAAUUUAGUUAUAUAUUUUUAGUUGUUUUUAUUAAUAAUAUUAUGACAUUUGUAAUUAAGUUUAUGAUCAAUUUGUAAUGAGAUUAUCAUGUAUGAAAUUUGCUAUAUUUAUAUUUCA